AUUGAACGCUGGCGGCACGCUUAACACAUGCAAGUCGAACGGCAGCGGGAUCUAGCUUGCUAGAUUGCCGGCGAGUGGCGGACGGGUGAGUAACGCGUAGGAAUAUACCUUAGAGACUGGGACAACCUGGGGAAACUCAGGCUAAUACCGGAUGAAGUUUACGAACGAAAGCUGGGGACCGAAAGGCCUGGCGCUUUAAGAAUAGCCUGCGUCCGAUUAGCUAGUUGGUGGGGUAAAGGCCUACCAAGGCGACGAUCGGUAGCUGGUCUGAGAGGAUGACCAGCCACAUUGGAACGAGGAAACGGGCCAGACUCCUACGGGAGGAAGCAGUGGGGAAUAUUGGACAAGGGGGAAACCCUGAUCCAGCAAUGCCGCGUGUGUGAAGAAGGCCUGAGGGUUGUAAAGCACUUUUGUUGGGGAAGAGGGUAUUUUGGUUAAGAGCUGGAAUACUGGACAUUACCCAAAGAAAAAGCACCGGCUAACUCCGUGCCAGCCGCCGCGGUAA
rnacentral:rRNA from 1 species